AGUCACUCGCCCGCAGUUGUUUCCUGGUUUCUCUUCUCUCUCCCUAAAGGAGCCAUUGAAAUUCGGUGUAAAAAGGGGAGCAGUGGGUGUAGGGUGUCUGGAGGCGAGUGUGAACAGCUGAGAGGUGUGAUUUCACAGGCUCGCUCUCCCCUGUCACGGCCCUGAUUGGGUUGGACAGCAGGCAUAGGAGAGGCCCUGGCUUCUAAAGGACACCAACAGGUGGAGGACCGCAGGGGCAGAGGGGGGAGUAUAAGGGAGGCUGAGCACUUGAAAAGGCCGGGAGCAUGUGGCCAUGUCUGGGCAGAAUCCACCAGUCAAGCAAAGAGGACGAUACACUGUAGCACUCUGCAGAAGAGGAAAGAUGGGAACAGAAAGGUGUGGAGAGAGUUUUCAUUUGUAGCUAGAUUGAGUUGGCAUUAGGCAGGUUUUUUUUUUUUUUUUUUUUUUUUUGAACUGGAGUAGACUUUACAUGAUACUAAUUACAACAUUCGAGACUAAUUUAAACUUCUUUUCUCAUUCUUUAAUUGGCAAUGCAGUUGAGAUUAAAUGUUUUCAGAUAAUAUCACGGGAGCAGCCCAUUUCAUGUCUGGGAUGUCAAAAUGUCUUUGAAUUUUUUUUUUUCAAUUCUUAUAUACAUAUAAUGGCACUAUAUAUAUAGCUCCAUUUUGAUUCGGACCGAGAUACUGGGUGACAUCUCUGUUUUACGAGACAGCAAAUGGGAGAUUUUACACCUCUGCCACUGGAAAUGGUGCUGUUAAAGGAAAUGGAGGUAUGAGAGUGUUACUGGGUUUUCACCUGAGGUGUCAUAGCUUGUCUUUGAUCUACUGUAUAUCAGUCUCCCAUAUCCAGGAGUAAAAAGGGGGCAGUUUGUGCAUUUUAAGGUUUCCAUGUGGCAGAAUGAGAAACCUUCAGGUCUAUUUAAAUGUGAGAAGAUGUUUGAGUGUUAGAUGUGCUAGUCCUCUCCUGCUUGGCUGGCUAACCUCCAUGUCCCUUGUCCAUGGACACUUGUCAACAGUUCAAUGAUGAAAAAGGAAGAGAUAACUACAUACAGGUAAGCAGCAAGAAUGAUUUGCUGAACAUAUGAACAUUGCUGAACAUAAGCUCCUUUAGUCUUCCUCUGCCUGCCGUUCUCUCUAUCUGAAGCAGCACGCCUUGCUGUGGCUGGUCAAAUGGAACCAAGUCAGGUGUUUCUGUGAGGUUUGGUCCCCUUCAACCAGCUACUGCGUCGUGAAUACAGCCAACAUAGAGCAAAUAUUUCAAGAGAGUCAUUCAGUAGUCUGCUUUUUUGGAAUUUAAAAUGUACUAACCCUAAAAAAAAAUUUCAUUAUGGUUUUUAAUUCUUAUAAAAUUCAAUAAACUAUUUUCUUUUUCAAUGUUGUGUUCAUUUUCUCCUUCUUAAUUAUAAUAGCAAUUAAUUAUUCUUUCUACAAUAAUCAUUCAGUCCCUAAACUUGUCUUUCAUUGCACUUUUGAAAAAGAAGUGUGCUUAAGUGUAUCGAUUGUGCACUUUUUGAAUUGCAUUGAAUGUGUACUUCAAAUCUUAAAAGUAUAUUUUUAUAAAACUGUAACUGUGCAGAUCAUAAAAAAUCAAUGAAAUAAAAGACCACACACACACACAGUCUAUUUAAUUCUAUUUUAUAAAUUAUUAAAUAAUGAAAUCAUUUGCACUUUAUUGGUAAACAAAAUUUAAAAUAAAUAAUAGUAAAAAGCGUACAUAAAAUUUGGAAUUUAGUUAGAACCCAUUCAUUUGUUUACAAUAAAUGUUUUUUUAAAGAUUAAGUGGCUUUACUGACUGUUGAAGAAAAAAUAGUUUUCAUUUGUACCCUAUUUAUGAGAAGUGUUUGAGUUCAGUUUUGGGUUCAUGGUGUCUCACAGCUCGGAAUGUGUGUGUGUGAGUGGUCCUGGUAUUCCUUGUAAAUUAUGGGGACCAAAUGUCCCUACAAAAACAGUAAUAACAGUAAAUUUUGACCUUGUGGGGACAUUUUAGGUACCCAUAAGCUUCCCAGUAGUCAGGUCAAAUAUGCAAAUCAAGCCGACCUUAAAAACUUGAUGUGACAUCGAUUUGAUUUAAAUUAAACGUCAAACAUAUUGGCCUAUACAUUAAACCAGUUUUAGUGUGGGAUUAACUUCCUAUUUUCACCCUAUUACCGCUGGAAGAAAUUUCCAUGCAAACUGGAUUUAAUCAGAAUGAGUUUUAAAAUGAUGUUACAGCAUAACAUCAAUAUUUGACAUUAAAUUGAUAUCAAAGUGAACCACUGGGUUAUAAAUCAUACAGAAAGAUUUUUUUUGAAAAUCUAAAACUGCCAGUAAAUUUGUGAGAGCUGUAGGUUUGGGGUAAGGGCAUAGAAAAUACAAUUUGUAUUAAAGUAAAAAAAAUAUAUAUGUAUGGAAUGUCCCCAUAAAACAUACAGUAAAGCCAAUAUGCGUGUGUGUGUGUGUGUGUGUGUGUGUGUGUGUGUGUGUGUUUGUGUGUGUGUGUGUGUGUGUGUGUGUGUGUGUGUGUGUGUGUGUGUGUGUGUGUGUGUGUGUGUGUGUGUGUGUGUGUGUGUGUGUGUGUCACAAUGACAAGCAGUGUUUUUAAAGGACAAGUGCUCUCAGGGGUCGCUGACACUGCUGUGUGUCUAACAAACAGAGAAGAGAUGAGACUGCCAGAGGUUCUGAGAUUGGAUGAGAAGAGCAGUUCCUUCGGGAUGAAGGUCACUCCUUCUCCGACUGUUUAUGGGUCGUACCCUGAGUCUGGAAUGAUCUGCUUCAUUGGAUAAGCAGGCAGAAGCAGGCAGACAGCUACCUUUGUCUCUAUUUCAAUAACCAUUCUUAUGCUAGAAGCAUUCAUUUGUUGUAUUGUUUCUUCUUCGGAGCAGGUUUGAAGAAAUUUUGCAUUUUAUCACUUGCUCACCAAUGGAUACUCUGCAGUGAAUGGGUGCCGUCAAAAUGAGAGUCCAAACAGCUAAUAAAAACACAAUAAUCCACAAAUAAUCCACACCACUCCAAGCACAGAUCAAGCAUUGUUUAUAAACAGUUCUAAACAAAUAUGUUGGUGGAUUUUGAUGUGAGAAGACAACAUAUUGUAAAUCCAACCUCAUCCAUGGAACAAAAUUUUAGUAGCAGGUACACAAAUAUUGAAGAAUGCAAAAAUGACAAAAAUAUAUAUGUUCACAAAAACACAUCCUGUAUUAGCUUGACAUAUUUUUAUUUAUUAUAUAUUUUUAAUGCUAAGUCAACAAGUGUUGAAUUUGGAGUUACAGUAACUGUACUAAAAUGUAUAAAGGGUCAUUCCGUGUCAACUCAACCAGAGGUCCCCGGUAUUGCACUGUCUUCCUGAGUGUUAUUCUGUGUUGUGUCAUUAAAGACUGUUAAAGACUAUUGCAUCAAAAUCAAAUAAAUUUGAGUGAAAUUUGUAAAACUAGCGCAUCUCUGACAUUGUGAUAGCACUCGUUGCCUUCUCUAGUGCAGAUCAUAUAGUAUCUUUGUGAUAUCACGAAUCCUGGAAAAUAUGCAUUGUAGUCCAAACAAGUUGUUUGUUGUAAUUUUUGAAAAGUGAUUUCUGUUAAAUAAAAUAUCUCCUUUUGAAUUUGA